rnacentral:rRNA from 1 species
UACGUAGGGGCUAGCGUUGUCCGGAUUUAUUGGGCGUAAAGAGCGUGUAGGCGGCCAGAUAGGUCUGCUGUGAAAACUCGAGGCUCAACCUCGAGAUGUCGGCGGAAACCAUUUGGCUAGAGUCCGGAAGAGGAAAGUGGAAUUCCUGGUGUAGCGGUGAAAUGCGCAGAUAUCAGGAGGAACACCGAUGGCGAAGGCAGGUCUCUGGGCCACCUACUGACGCUGAGAAGCGAAAGCAUGGGGAGCGAACAGG